rnacentral:rRNA from 1 species
AUUGAACGCUGGCGGCAUGCUUUACACAUGCAAGUCGAACGGCAGCGCGGGCUUCGGCCUGGCGGCGAGUGGCGAACGGGUGAGUAAUGCAUCGGAACGUGCCCAGUAGUGGGGGAUAGCCCGGCGAAAGCCGGAUUAAUACCGCAUACGACCUGAGGGGGAAAGCGGGGGACCGAAAGGCCUCGCGCUAUUGGAGCGGCCGAUGUCGGAUUAGCUAGUUGGUGGGGUAAAGGCUUACCAAGGCGACGAUCCGUAGCUGGUCUGAGAGGACGACCACCCAAACGGGGACGGAGACACGGCCCGAACCCCAAGGGGAGGCAGGGGGGGGAAAUUUUGAAAAAGGGGGGCAACCCGGAUCCGGCCAUGCCGGGUGGGGGAAAAAGGCCUUGGGUUUUUAAACCCCUUUUGUUCGGGAAAAAACCCUCUGGGCAAAACCCCGGGGGGGAUGACGGGACCGGAAGAAAAAGCACCGGCUAACUACGG